rnacentral:rRNA from 1 species
CAUGGUUGUCGUCAGCUCGUGUCGUGAGAUGUUGGGUUAAGUCCCGCAACGAGCGCAACCCUUGAUCUUAGUUGCCAUCAUUUAGUUGGGCACUCUAAGGUGACUGCCGGUGACAAACCGGAGGAAGGUGGGGAUGACGUCAAAUCAUCAUGCCCCUUAUGACCUGGGCUACACACGUGGUACAAUGGACGAUACAAACGGUUGCCAACUCGCGAGAGGGAGCUAAUCCGAUAAAGUCGUUCUCAGUUCGGAUUGUAGGCUGCAACUCGCCUACAUGAAGCCGGAAUCGCUAGUAAUCGCGGAUCA